rnacentral:tRNA from 1 species
GCCUCUGUAGCUUAAGUGGCAAAGCACUGGUUUUGUAAACCAGGAGUCGCGAGUUCAAUCCUCACAGGAGGCA